GACGAACGCUGGCGGCGUGCUUAACACAUGCAAGUCGAACGGAAAGGCCCUGCUUUUGUGGGGUGCUCGAGUGGCGAACGGGUGAGUAACACGUGAGUAACCUGCCCUUGAUUUUGGGGUAACUUCAGGAAACUGGGGCUAAUACCUGAUAGGAGCGCCUGCUGCAUGGUGGGGGUUGGAAAGUUUCGGCGGUUGGGGAUGGACUCGCGGCUUAUCAGCUUGUUGGUGGGGUAGUGGCUUACCAAGGCUUUGACGGGUAGCCGGCCUGAGAGGGUGACCGGCCACAUUGGGAAUGAGAGACGGCCCAGGCGCCUACGGGAGGAAGGAGUGGGGAAUGUUGCACAAUGGGCGGAAGCCUGAUGCAGGACCGCCGCGUGCGGGAUGACGGCCUUCGGGUUGUAAACCGCUUUCGCCUGUGACGAAGCGUGAGUGACGGUAAUGGGUAAAGAAGCACGGGCUAACUACGU
rnacentral:rRNA from 1 species